rnacentral:rRNA from 1 species
AGUGAACGCUGGCGGUAGGCCUAACACAUGCAAGUCGAACGGCAGCACAGUAAGAGCUUGCUCUUACGGGUGGCGAGUGGCGGACGGGUGAGGAAUACAUCGGAAUCUACUUUUUCGUGGGGGAUAACGUAGGGAAACUUACGCUAAUACCGCAUACGACCUACGGUUUAAAUCAGUGGAUCUUCUCACCUUUCGCGUUUGAAUUCUCCGAUGUCGGAUUAGCUUGUUGGCGGGGUAAAGGCCCACCAAGGCGACGAUCCGUAGAUGGUCUGAGAGGAUGAUCAGCAAAACUGGAAGUGAGACACGGUACAGAAUCCUACGGGAGGCAGCAGUGGGGAAUAUUGGACAAUGGGCGAAAGCAUGAUACAGCAAGACCGAGUGGGUGAAGAAGGGCUUAGGGUUGUAAAGACAUUUUGUUGGGAAAGAAAAGAAGCAGGUUAAUAAAACGAUGUUAUGACGGUAACAAAAGAAUAAGCACCGGCUAACUUCGUG